rnacentral:rRNA from 1 species
GGGCGCCUCCUAAAAAGUAACGGAGGCUUGCAAAGGUUGGCUCAUUGCGGUUGGAAAUCGCAAGUUGAGUGUAAUGGCACAAGCCAGCCUGACUGUAAGACAUACAAGUCAAGCAGAGACGAAAGUCGGUCAUAGUGAUCCGGUGGUUCUGUGUGGAAGGGCCAUCGCUCAAAGGAUAAAAGGUACCCCGGGGACAACCCGGCUGA